AUGUGGGCAAUUUGGCGAGCACGAAGGAAAGCGAUCUAUGAGGACAUCUUCCAAUCACCGCAAUCUACUUAUGGAUUUAUCACAAGCUUUCUUGAUGACUUGAGAUAUAUUAAGACAAGUGAACCUCGGAGGACCGUAGUCAAAGCUGCAAGACCAACCCAGUGGCAGGCUCCGGCCACGGGAUGCGUGAAGAUCAAUGUGGACGCGGCCGCACCAAGGCAAGCCCGUUUCGGGGCUGUGGGUGCAAUCUGCAGAAGUUCAGAUGGUCUGUUUUUGGGAGCUUCGGCGCUGAUCAUAGAGCAUAUUGGGGACCCGGAAACGCUGGAGGCCAUGGCGAUCAGAGAAGGCCUUGCACUUGCGGAGGACUUGUACCAAAGGCGCAUUCAUGUUGCAUCGGAUUGCAAGAAGGCAGUAGACUCUCUGAAAAAGGAGGACGCAUCUCCAUAUGGUGCUAUUGUGCAUGAAAUAUUAAGCCAUUCUGCAACUUUUGAUAUGUGUAGGUUUAGCCAUGAGUUUAGGAGCUCAAAUUAUGAAGCUCACAACUUAGCGAAGCAUGCUUUAUCUCUCGGGGGUGGCCGCCGUGUAUGGUUAGGCCAUCCCGGAGAUCUUUCUUUCGUCCCUGUAAACAUUGUGACGAAUCAAUAA
rnacentral:rRNA from 1 species